UACGAAGGGGGCUAGCGUUGCUCGGAAUCACUGGGCGUAAAGCGCACGUAGGCGGACUUUUAAGUCAGAGGUGAAAUCCCAAGGCUCAACCUUGGAACUGCCUUUGAUACUGGGGAUCUUGAGUCCGGGAGAGGUGAGUGGAACUGCGAGUGUAGAGGUGAAAUUCGUAGAUAUUAGGAAGAACACCAGUGGCGAAGGCGGCUCACUGGUCCGGUACUGACGCUGAGGUGCGAAAGCGUGGGGAGCAAACAGG
rnacentral:rRNA from 1 species